CCUACGGGAGGCUGCAGUGAGGAAUAUUGGUCAAUGGGCGCGAGCCUGAACCAGCCAAGUAGCGUGAAGGAUGACUGCCCUACGGGUUGUAAACUUCUUUUAUAAAGGGAUAAAGUGAGGCACGUGUGCCUUUUUGUAUGUACUUUAUGAAUAAGGAUCGGCUAACUCCGUGCCAGCAGCCGCGGUAAUACGGAGGAUACGAGCGUUAUCCGGAUUUGUUGGGGUUAAAGGGAGCGUAGAUGGGUUGUUAAGUCAGUUGUGAAAGUUUGCGGCUCAACCGGAAAAUUGCAAUUGAUACUGGCAGCCUUGAGUACAGUAGAGGUAGGCGGAAUUCGUGGUGUAGCGGUGAAAUGCGUAGAGAUCACGAAGAACUCCGAUUGCGAAGGCAGCUUACUAAACUGCCACUGACAUUGAGGCUCGAAAGUGUGGGGAUCAAACAGGAUUAGAUACCCUGGUAGUC
rnacentral:rRNA from 1 species